rnacentral:rRNA from 1 species
UACGAAGGGGGCUAGCGUUGCUCGGAAUCACUGGGCGUAAAGCGCACGUAGGCGGAUCUUUAAGUCAGGGGUGAAAUCCCGGAGCUCAACUCCGGAACUGCCUUUGAUACUGGAGAUCUUGAGUCCGGGAGAGGUGAGUGGAACUGCGAGUGUAGAGGUGAAAAUUCGUAGAUAUUCGCAAGAACACCAGUGGCGAAGGCGGCUCACUGGCCCGGUACUGACGCUGAGGUGCGAAAAGCGUGGGGGAGCAAACAGG